GUGGUGGCUCAGUGGUAAAGCACUUGCCUAGCACGCAUGAGGCACUGGGUUCGAUCCUCAGCACCACA
rnacentral:tRNA from 1 species